rnacentral:rRNA from 1 species
GCGAACGUUAGCGGCAGGCCUAACACAUGCAAGUCGAGCGAGAAAGGGGCUUCGGCCCCAAGUAAAGCGGCGGACGGGUGCGUAACACGUGGGUAAUCUACCCUUCGGCGGGGGACAACAGUUCGAAAGGACUGCUAAUACCGCAUAAGUCGGUGUCGUCAGCAGACGGUGCCGGGAAAGAGGGCGCCUGAAAGGGGCUCUCACCGGAGGAGGAGUCCGCGGCCCAUCAGCUAGUUGGCGGUGUAAAGGACCACCAAGGCAAAGACGGGUAGCUGGUCUGAGGGGAUGAUCAGCCACACUGGGACUGAGACACGGCCCAGACUCCUACGGGAGGCAGCAGUGGGGAAUAUUGGGCAAUGGGCGCAAGCCUGACCCAGCCAUGCCGCGUGAGUGAUGAAGGCCUUCGGGUCGU